UUUCCGUAGGUGAACCUGCGGAAGGAUCAUUAUUGUAUAACCGAGGUGCGAGGGCUGUCGCUGACCCGAAAGGUCGUGCACGCCCGAGUGCCCUCACACAUCCAUCUCACCCCUAUGUGCACCACCGCGUGGGUCCCCCUUUGGCUUGUUCGGAGGGGGGCUUACGUUUUCACACAAACUUUGUAUGCAGUGUAGAAUGUAUUUUUUGUUUUUGCGAUCACGCAAUCAAUACAACUUUCAACAAUGGAUCUCUUGGCUCUC
rnacentral:misc_RNA from 1 species